UAAACAAGUAAAUAUGAGAACAAACUUUUGAACUUUUGCUCUGCUGUUAUUCCAUAGUCAUUAUCAUUCAACUUUACAAUAUCACAUUGGUUAGGCAAAACGACAGUCCUCGCGUUGUUACGUCAGACCGAGCGUAUCUGAGCGCCAAGGCUCGAGAAAAAAUGGCGAAUUCCGAUCACGAUAUUCAGGUGAGGCACAGUUUCUCCUUUGUAUUUUCCAUCAUAUGCACAAUUUACUUAUAUGACUAGUCUUACGGAAUAUCCAAACCAUCUCCCCUUUCGCGGAAAUAUUUUAUUUUACUGGAAACAGAAAAGUUUCGGAGUAAAACGAAACAAAGUUUAGCGAGUGAUGUUCCAGUGACGAUGAAACAUGUAAAAUUGUUCACAUUUUGUCGUUUGAUUAUCAAUAUUAACGUUCUCCGGCCAUCUUCUGGUACCUGAAGACACUGUGUACAUCUAUAAUGUUGCUACCAAACUCAUUUUUUACGAAUGCUAUCUUUGUGCCGUUUAAACGCACUUUUUAAAAUGCAACGUUAGUGGGUACCGAUCGCAAUACACCGUUUGUGUUCGAGAACCACUAUCGUAAAGGGAGUUUUACCAACAAGUUCUUACCGUUUAACGCCAAAGUAUGAGUUCUCUAUUUAUUAUUCUCUAUAUGUAUCACAAUAUUUACACCUAUCCGUCCCAAUGCUACCACUCUUAAAGUAUAAUUAUGAUCUUUUUUUUUACUUUCAGUAACUAUGACGAAAAGAAAGAAGAAGAAGAAAGUAUCUCUAUGGCUGAAUAGACCCAAACGGAGGGCAUUUGCACUUGAACCACUUCUUUGAUAGACCUGAACGAAAAAGGACAAAGCCUCACAGGAAGCCAGGGACAGUAAACAGAGAUCUAGAUGGACCUCCGAAAGGAACCCAACCCAUGAGAGGAGAGUUUGACGAGUCUAAAAUUAAUCCACUGAUGAGAUCAGGAAUACCAGUGACACUUUGAUUAUUUUUUGUGAAGUCCAUCCUCCACCCUUUUCUCGUUUUCAAUUAUGAUAGAGAAAACACACAUAUUUCACACUUUAAAUUUAAGAACUAUUUAAAAUAAGUAUCUGUUUUACAAUGAAGUAAAAUAUCGAUAUAGC
rnacentral:lncRNA from 1 species